GUCGUCGCUCUACUACUGGUUU
rnacentral:snRNA from 1 species